GACGAACGCUGGCGGCGUGCUUAACACAUGCAAGUCGAACGGAAAGGCUCUGCUUUUGUGGGGUGCUCGAGUGGCGAACGGGUGAGUAACACGUGAGUAACCUGCCCUUGACUUUGGGAUAACUCCAGGAAACUGGGGCUAAUACCGGAUAGGAGCUCCUGCUGCAUGGUGGGGGUUGGAAAGUUUCGGCGGUUGGGGAUGGACUCGCGGCUUAUCAGCUUGUUGGUGGGGUAGUGGCUUACCAAGGCUUUGACGGGUAGCCGGCCUGAGAGGGUGACCGGCCACAUUGGGACUGAGAUACGGCCCAGACUCCUACGGGAGGCAGCAGUGGGGAAUAUUGCACAAUGGGCGGAAGCCUGAUGCAGCAACGCCGCGUGCGGGAUGACGGCCUUCGGGUUGUAAACCGCUUUCGCCUGUGACGAAGCGUGAGUGACGGUAAUGGGUAAAGAAGCACCGGCUAACUACGCG
rnacentral:rRNA from 1 species